rnacentral:rRNA from 1 species
UGCCAGCCGCCGCGGUAAUACGGAGGGUGCAAGCGUUGUUCGGAAUUAUUGGGCGUAAAGCGCGUGUAGGCGGUUCGUUAAGUCUGAUGUGAAAGCCCGGGGCUCAACCCCGGAAGUGCAUUGGAAACUGGCGAACUUGAGUACGGGAGAGGAAAGUGGAAUUCCCGGUGUAGCGGUGAAAUGCGUAGAUAUCGGGAAGAACACCAGCAGCGAAGGCGGCUUUCUGGCUCGUAACUGACACUGAAUCGCGAAAGCGUGGGGAGCGAACAGGAUUAGAUA